rnacentral:rRNA from 1 species
UACGUAGGGUGCGAGCGUUGUCCGGAAUUACUGGGCGUAAAGAGUUCGUAGGCGGUUUGUCGCGUCGUUCGUGAAAACUUGGGGCUUAACUCCAAGCGUGCGGGCGAUACGGGCAGACUUGAGUACUACAGGGGAGACUGGAAUUCCUGGUGUAGCGGUGAAAUGCGCAGAUAUCAGGAGGAACACCUGCGGCGAAGGCGGGUUGCUGGGCUGACACUGACGCUGAUGCGCGAAAGCCAGGGGAGCGAACGGG